rnacentral:rRNA from 1 species
UACGUAGGGUGCGAGCGUUGUCCGGAAUUACUGGGCGUAAAGAGCUCGUAGGUGGUUUGUCGCGUUGUUCGUGAAAACUCACAGCUCAACUGUGGGCGUGCGGGCGAUACGGGCAGACUGGAGUACUGCAGGGGAGACUGGAAUUCCUGGUGUAGCGGUGAAAUGCGCAGAUAUCAGGAGGAACACCGGUGGCGAAGGCGGGUCUCUGGGCCGUAACUGACGCUGAGGAGCGAAAGCGUGGGGAGCGAACAGG